rnacentral:rRNA from 1 species
AGAGUUUGAUCCUGGCUCAGGAUGAACGCUAGCUACAGGCUUAACACAUGCAAGUCGAGGGGAAACGACAUCGAAAGCUUGCUUUUGAUGGGCGUCGACCGGCGCACGGGUGAGUAACGCGUAUCCAACCUGCCCAUCACUUGGGGAUAACCUUGCGAAAGUAAGACUAAUACCCAAUGACGUCUCUAGAAGACAUCUGAAAGAGAUUAAAGAUUUAUCGGUGAUGGAUGGGGAUGCGUCUGAUUAGCUUGUUGCGGGGUAACGGCCGACCAAGGCGACGAUCAGUAGGAGUUCNGUUUAGAGGAAGGUCCCCACAUUGGAACUGAGACACGGUCCAAACUCCUACGGAGGCA